GGUUGAUCCUGCCAGUAAUCAUAUGCUUGUCUCAAAGAUUAAGCCAUGCAUGUCUAAGUACAUGCCGAAAUAAGGCGAAACCGCGAAUGGCUCAUUAAAUCAGUUAUGGUUCCUUAGAUCGUUUCUUCCUACUUGGAUAACUGUGGCAAUUCUAGAGCUAAUACAUGCAGUGAGCCUGGAACCCUUUGGGUUUACGGGUGCUUUUAUUAGACCAAGAUCGAUCGGGUUUCGGCCCGUAUUGUGUGGUGACUCUGGAUAACUUUGUGCUGAUCGCAUGGCCAUGAGCCGGCGACGUUUCUUUCAAGUGUCUGCCUUAUCAACUUUCGAUGGUAGGUUACUUGCUUACCAUGGUUGUUACGGGUAACGGAGAAUCAGGGUUCGAUUCCGGAGAGGGAGCCUGAGAAACGGCUACCACAUCCAAGGAAGGCAGCAGGCGCGCAAAUUACCCACUCCCGGCACGGGGAGGUAGUGACGAAAAAUAACAAUACGGGACUCUUUUGAGGCCCCGUAAUUGAAAUGAGUACACUCUAAAUCCUUUAACGAGGAUCAAUUGGAGGGCAAGUCGGGCCAGCAGCCGCG
rnacentral:rRNA from 1 species